UAACAUGUAUUGCCUCUG
rnacentral:siRNA from 1 species